UACGAAGGGGGCUAGCGUUGCUCGGAAUCACUGGGCGUAAAGGGUGCGUAGGCGGGGCUUUAAGUCAGGGGUGAAAUCCUGGAGCUCAACUCCAGAACUGCCUUUGAUACUGAGGAUCUUGAGUUCGGGAGAGGUGAGUGGAACUCCGAGUGUAGAGGUGAAAUGCGUAGAGAUCGGAAAGAACACCAACGGCGAAAGCACUCUGCUGGGCCGACACUGACACUGAGAGACGAAAGCUAGGGGAGCGAAUGGG
rnacentral:rRNA from 1 species